GCAGCCGCCUUCAAAGUAAAACUUUCUUUUUGCUCAUUUUCUUUGGAUCUCAAUUUUUUUUCUUCAGAAUAAUGUAUGAUUCUUCGUGAAUCUGUUUAUUACUCACUGAUCUCUUAAUUCCUCUAAAAUUGCCGAAAGAAGAUGAAGCCCUUGUCCUGUAUUGUUCAUGAAAUUCACUCACACAAUGAUUUUUCCUCUCAAAACCGGAGUUUUUUCAUUAUAUAUUGUGAUGUACUUUGGAAGAAUAGACUGAAUUUUCGGUUUUUUGGUUUGUUUCCUUGAGUAGAUCCAUCUUGCGGUGCGAUAAACAAAGUAUGAAGUAUUACCAUCCGGAGGAUUUGGAGCUAUUUAUAGUGCUACGGACUCUAGAAAAUGUGUUGUUGUUGUGCUGGGGAGCGGUGUUACUAUUUUGGAUUGACAUGAGUGAUGCGUGGUCUGUUCACUUUGGACCUGUUGUGGAAGUAUUUAGAGAUGCUGCUAGUGAAGUAUGAUUUGGUUGAUGAUGUAUCGUUUAAUGAACCUGUUGAUAAUAAAAAGUCGGGAAAGUCUGGGAUUCGGAUCCAGAUGAAUUUUAUUGAUAGUGAAGGUAGGGGCGUUAAUACAAGUGAUGUGGAGGACAUUUCAAAUCAGCAGCAAUAUCAUUGUUUACACUGUCUUUUUUAUGUUAUUUAAUUUGGAGGAGCAAAUAACUGGUAUCUCUUCUUCUAUAGAACAUGUUGAACAUCAUGGAACUUACAUCCUCCACUGCAUUAGUGGUUGUUGUCGUGUCUUAUAGAUGUGUAAAAGUGACUGUAAGGAAAGGAAUUUUGUUUUGUUA